GGUUAACCGUAUAGGGGAGCCGUAGGGAAACCGAGUCUUAACCGGGCGUUAAGUUGCAGGGUAUAGACCCGAAACCCGGUGAUCUAGCCAUGGGCAGGUUGAAGGUUGGGUAACACUAACUGGAGGACCGAACCGACUAAUGUUGAAAAAUUAGCGGAUGACCUGUGGCUGGGGGUGAAAGGCCAAUCAAACCGGGAGAUAGCUGGUUCUCCCCGAAAGCUAUUUAGGUAGCGCCUCGUGAAUUCAUCUCCGGGGGUAGAGCACUGUUUCGGCUAGGGGGCCAUCCCGGCUUACCAACCCGAUGCAAACUGCGAAUACCGGAGAAUGUUAUCACGGGAGACACACGGCGGGUGCUAACGUCCGUCGUGAAGAGGGAAACAACCCAGACCGCCAGCUAAGGUCCCAAAGUCAUGGUUAAGUGGGAAACGAUGUGGGAAGGCCCAGACAGCCAGGAUGUUGGCUUAGAAGCAGCCAUCAUUUAAAGAAAGCGUAAUAGCUCACUGGUCGAGUCGGCCUGCGCGGAAGAUGUAACGGGGCUAAACCAU
rnacentral:rRNA from 2 species